UACGUAGGUGGCAAGCGUUUGUCCGGAUUUACUGGGCGUAAAGAAUGCGUAGGCGGAUAUUUAAGUGAGAUGUGAAAUUCCCGGGCUUAACUUGGGAGCUGCAUUUCAAACUGGAUAUCUAGAGUGCGGGAGAGGAAAGUGGAAUUCCUAGUGUAGCGGUGAAAUGCGUAGAGAUUAGGAAGAACACCAGUGGCGAAGGCGACUUUCUGGACCGUAACUGACGCUGAGGCAUGGAAAGCGUGGGGAGCAAACAGG
rnacentral:rRNA from 1 species